rnacentral:lncRNA from 1 species
UUCUCCAUAAGUUGCUGUCAAAUUUGAAGAGUCACCAUAGCUAGGGUUUCUUCACUUUCUCAAGCUCAUAGUAAGUGCAUCCUAGCCCCGUUUUUAAUGNNNNNNNNNNNNNNNNNNNNNNNNNNNNNNNNNNNNNNNNNNNNNNNNNNNNNNNNNNNNNNNNNNNNNNNNNNNNNNNNNNNNNNNNNNNNNNNNNNNNGAAAAAUACCCAUAGGUGAAAUGUGUUUAUUUUGCUGUUUUAUGGUGGAAUAUGAAGCUAGAAAUUAUGUUAAACAACUUUUGCUAAGUGAUUUUAAGCAAAAACGAGUAAAUCGACAUAAUCGGUAAAAAAAUAUUUAUUGUUCAUAAGUGUAUGUUAGAGUGAGAAUUUGAUGUUGCCAUAGAAGGGAUAAGUGUUCAGAAUGUUGUAAAACAUAAGAUAAGGUGUGAAAUAUAAUUUUCGAGCUUGGGGACAAAAAUGUAAUUAUGCAAAAGUUUAGGGGCAAAAUCGUAAUUUUAUAAAAGUUGAGUCGAAGCUUGUUUUAAUAAAUGUGAAUAUUAAACAAGCUCAAUUUGCUGUUAUAGAUCAAGAAAGACGAGAAAUCAACCUUAAUCGGGGAAAAGAGAAGAUUGAGGAUUAAAUUGCAAAAUCUUUACAUUUUGUAUCGAGGUAAGUUGUAUGUAAUUAAUAUAUUGUUAUAAUUAUUUUCGUUAUAUUUUGUGACAAUAUACGUGAAAGGGUUGAUAUUAUAAUGUGUUUUGAAUGAAUUGUAAAUAUAUUUGGAAAGUAAGAAUCUUUGUGGAAAUGUCAUAAUGGUAAAGAUUUGAAUGAGGUAUCGAUGAACACGUGUGUAGUACUGUGUGAAGGCUACUACGUGCAUCGAUAAGUAAUGGUCACAUGAGUAGUACUAAGUGAAGGCUACUAUGUGUACCAAGAAGCUUUGAGCACGUGUGUAGUACUGUGUGAAUGUUACUACGUGUCUCGAUAAACUACGGUUACAUGUGUAGUACUAAGUGAAGGCUACUAUGUGUACCAAGAAGCUUUGAUCACGUGUGUAGUACUGUGUGAAUGUUACUACGUGUCUCGAUAAACUACGGUUACAUGUGUAGUACUAAGUGAAGGCUACUAUGUGUACCAAGAAGCUUUGAUCACGUGUGUAGUACUGUGUGAAGGCUACUACGUGAGCCGUAAAAAUUGAUCACGUGUGUAGUACUAUGUGAAGGCUACUACGUGAACUGUAAAACUGAUCACGUGUGCAGUACUAUGUGAAGGCUACUACGUGUAUCGAAUGAUAAAAAUAAUAUGAGUAGUACUAUGUGAAAAGCUCCGAAUAUUAUUUUAUAUAUACCGUCAUGAUGAUGAAAUAUGAGCAUAUGAUCGGAAUGUAAUAAGUUGUGAAAAGUGAUUGACGUGAUGAAAUUUGCGUUGUGUUAUAAAAUAAAUGGUUAUAGUGCUAUGCGAAUAAGGAAUGUUGGAAUAGAACAGAUUUGGACAUUGACAGUGAUGUUAGUUUGAAAAAUCACCAAAAACUAUAGAAAUUGAGUUAGAGUUUUAAUAAUAUAUGAAAUUGAAGCUGAAUGAGUCUAUUUUCAUAUGGAAGAAACAAAGUAAGCAAAGGAGUUUUAUAUUUGGAGAUAUUUAAACUUUAUUGAGACAGGGUUGAAUUGAUUUCAAAAUCCCCUAUUUCAACUUUGAAAAAUCACAAAAAAUUGUAAAAAAUAAUUAGGGCUUGAAAUUUAUAUUAUUGAAUUCCUUAAUGAGUCUAUUUUUAAGAGAAAGAAACAAGAAUAUUGUUUGAAUUUUGUACAAAGAGUUAAAUAAAUUUUAGUGAAGAGAGGUCAGAAGUGUUAAACAGUGAAACAGGGGAACAUUUAGAGAAUAAACUGUACUAAUUGGCUAAACAAAAAAUUCUGAAACUUUUAUGGUAAAAAGGUAUAUGAGUCUAGUUUCAUGGAAAAUUUACGGAUCUUAAUUUGGAUGUCCGUAGCUCCGGAUAAAAAUAAUUUACCGACUGUGACGCAGAAAAACAGUUUGCUGGAAGUUGACUAAAUGAUAGAUUUGUGUGUGAUAGAUAUUAUAUAAUAUAUGAUAUUAUCUUAGAAAUUUAUUUAUCGAUUACAUACAUACUUACUAAGCUGUAAGCUUACUCCUCUUUAUUUUUCCUUUGUUUUAUAGUGAUUUUAAUCAACUCGGGAAUUGGACGGAGUCAUAUCAUCAUCAUCCUCACUAUCAUCAUCAACUUUUGGGUAUUUUGCAAUCAAUACUUUUGAAAAAUGGCAUGUAUAGAUGACUUAAUGUAAUGUAGUAUAAACUUAUAUAUAUGUAUAAAAUAUAGUUUGGUUUAAAAUGUUGGUAUCUAUAAUUGAUGAAUUAUUUCCU